rnacentral:lncRNA from 1 species
GGGCCUCACAUUUUCCUCAAUCAGACUGUGGUUUUUUAUGAUUUGUAAGUGAAUAUUUUUUCAUCACAUAACUCUUAUUAUUAGCUUUUCAACAAGAUAAGGUAUUUCUAAUUUGGAGUUGAACCGAAAUUUUUUGGUAUAUUUUUGAGUAGAAGAGGGUACCUACCUUGGUAAUUUUAAUAUCCAACUUUGAAAAGACAUUCCUCAAUGCAAAUUAAUGGAAUAAUUUUGAAAUUUUUAGAAUAAAAGAAUAUUUAAAUUGAGCUUCUAUUAGAAUAAAUUUCAUUAAAUUUAAAGCAAUGUUUAAUUUUUAACAAAGUUUUAAAUGAAGGAGGAUCGGCUGUAGUGGCAAGCCCAAUGACCCAACUUUGAAGAAGCAUUGCUCACAGCUCAGGUGAUUGCCAUGAAAAUUUUGAAGCAAGAGCGCCUUGAAGUUAAAUUUCUAACACAAUAAAAAUCAUUAGAUUUAGAGCUAAUUUGGAUUUUU